AACCCGAAACCCGGAAACUUCUGCUGCUGCUCCUUCUUCUUCCCAUCUCUUUAUUGCUUCAGACUCCACCUUUCUUUCUCCGGUUGUACCCUAUUGGCUUUCAUCCUUUGACACCCUUUCGACAUUAAUCCCUUCAAGUUUCUAUCAAGAAUAGAAAGAGAGCAGAACCCUAAAAAGGCAAAAACGAAAAAAAAAAGAGAAGAAGAUGGUAUUUGGUCAAGUGGUGAUCGGUCCACCUGGCUCAGGCAAGACUACUUACUGCAACGGCAUGUCUCAGUUUCUAAAUCUCAUCGGACGAAAGGUUGCUGUUGUCAAUCUAGAUCCUGCAAAUGAUGCUUUGCCAUAUGAAUGCGCUGUGAAUAUUGAGGAUCUUGUAAAACUUGAAGAUGUUAUGGCUGAGCAUUCUCUUGGUCCGAAUGGAGGUCUUGUUUACUGCAUGGACUAUUUGGAGAAGAAUAUCGACUGGUUGGAAUCCAAAUUGAAGCCGCUUAUUAAAGAUCAUUAUCUUCUGUUUGAUUUCCCUGGUCAAGUGGAGUUAUUUUUCCUCCAUGCGAAUGCAAAAAGAGUCAUCAUGAAACUCAUAAAGAGAUUAAACCUAAGGUUGACUGCAGUGCAUUUGGUUGAUGCUCAUCUUUGUAGUGAUCCUGGGAAGUAUAUCAGUGCGUUGCUUCUGUGCUUAUCGACCAUGGUGCACUUGGAACUUCCUCAUGUUAAUGUCUUGUCUAAGAUUGAUCUAAUUGAAAGCUAUGGAAGGCUAGCUUUCAACCUGGACUUUUAUACAGAUGUACAAGAUUUAUCUUAUUUGCAGCAUCACCUUGAUCAGGAUCCCAGGUCAGCUAAGUACAGAAAACUUACAAAGGAGCUCUGUGAAGUAAUAGAAAGUUAUGGACUAGUCAAUUUCACGACAUUGGAUAUUCAGGACAAAGAAAGUGUGGGUAAUCUAGUGAAGUUGAUUGAUAAGAGCAAUGGUUAUAUUUUUGCUGGCAUAGAAGAAAGCGCUGUUGAGUUUAGCAAGAUUGCAGUUGGCCCUGUUGAUUGGGAUUACUAUAGAGUUGCAGCAGUGCAGGAGAAAUACAUGAAGGAUGAUGAAGAUUUAGAUCUUGGCAACAACAAAGACUGAACCAGUUGAUGCUAGCCUUGACUGAACAUAUGGUAUCCAAGUGUUUCCCUUUUCUUUUCUUAUUUUAGCAUUUGAUGAUGCGAACGCCCUCAAGUGGUGGAUAUGUAGCUUUUGAAUUUUGAAGCUGCUUUAUGCAUCGGUCGAAAAGUUAAACAUCCUAACUUCAGGUGGUGUAGUUGUAGAGUGCAGAGAUCUUUGCAGUCUAUGCACAUUCUGUAUCAAAAGUGUUCUUAGAUGGUGUGAUGCACAAUGCUAGUUUUGCAUGUUACGAAAGCAACAGAAGCUCUUUCAAACCAGAAAUCUCAGAAUUCUGGUGAUCACACAUGGAUUUGCAAACUAGUCUUAACAUGGACCCCCUUGUAUAUGCGGAUUAUGAAGGAUGAAAUAUGUGUAAGAUUUGCACGCAGAGUUGUCCAUCAAAGAAUGGACCACAUAAUAUUCAAAAUCACAAUUCUGAGUUA